UACGUAGGGGGCAAGCGUUGUCCGGAAUUAUUGGGCGUAAAGCGCGUGUAGGCGGCUUUGCAAGUCGGGUGUGAAAUCCCUCAGCUUAACUGAGGAAGUGCGCCCGAAACUGCAGAGCUUGAGUACCGGAGAGGGUGGCGGAAUUCCCCAAGUAGAGGUGAAAUUCGUAGAUAUGGGAGGAACACCGGUGGCGAAGGCGGCCACCUGGACGGAUACUGACGCUGAGACGCGAAAGCGUGGGGAGCAAACAGG
rnacentral:rRNA from 1 species